UCGGGAAUUUUGGGCAAUGGGCGAAAGCCUGACCCAGCAACGCCGCGUGAAGGAUGAAGUAUUUCGGUAUGUAAACUUCGUAAGAAUAGGAAGAAUAAAUGACGGUACUAUUUGUAAGGUCCGGCUAACUACGUGCCAGCAGCCGCGGUAAUACGUAGGGACCAAGCGUUGUUCGGAAUUACUGGGCGUAAAGCGCGCGUAGGUGGUUUGUUAAGUUGGAUGUGAAAUCCCCGGGCUCAACCUGGGAACUGCAUUCAAAACUGACAAGCUAGAGUAUGGUAGAGGGUGGUGGAAUUUCCUGUGUAGCGGUGAAAUGCGUAGAUAUAGGAAGGAACACCAGUGGCGAAGGCGACCACCUGGACUGAUACUGACACUGAGGUGCGAAAGCGUGGGGAGCAAACAGGAUUAGAUACCCGCGUAGUCCCUGAGCGGGCUGGCAAGGCGCAU
rnacentral:rRNA from 1 species